AUUGAAUGCUGGCGGCAGGCCUAACACAUGCAAGUCGAGCGGAUGAAGGGAGCUUGCUCCUGGAUUCAGCGGCGGACGGGUGAGUAAUGUCUAGGAAUCUGCCUGGUAGUGGGGGAUAACGUCCGGAAACGGGCGCUAAUACCGCAUACGUCCUGAGGGAGAAAGUGGGGGAUCUUCGGACCUCACGCUAUCAGAUGAGCCUAGGUCGGAUUAGCUAGUUGGUGGGGUAAAGGCCUACCAAGGCGACGAUCCGUAACUGGUCUGAGAGGAUGAUCAGUCACACUGGAACUGAGACACGGUCCAGACUCCUACGGGAGGCAGCAGUGGGGAAUAUUGGACAAUGGGCGAAAGCCUGAUCCAGCCAUGCCGCGUGUGUGAAGAAGGUCUUCGGAUUGUAAAGCACUUUAAGUUGGGAGGAAGGGCAGUAAGUUAAUACCUUGCUGUUUUGACGUUACCAACAGAAUAAGCACCGGCUAACUUCGUG
rnacentral:rRNA from 1 species